rnacentral:rRNA from 1 species
CCUACGGGAGGCAGCAGUGGGGGAUAUUGCACAAUGGGGGAAACCCUGAUGCAGCGACGCCGCGUGGGUGAAGAAGUAUUUCGGUAUGUAAAGCCCUAUCAGCAGGGAAGAAAGAAGACGGUACCUGACUAAGAAGCCCCGGCUAACUACGUGCCAGCAGCCGCGGUAAUACGUAGGGGGCGAGCGUUAUCCGGAUUCACUGGGUGUAAAGGGAGCGUAGACGGUUAUGUAAGUCUGGAGUGAAAGCCCGGGGCCCAACCCCGGGACUGCUUUGGAAACUGUGUAACUGGAGUACAGGAGGGGCAGGCGGAAUUCCUGGUGUAGCGGUGAAAUGCGUAGAUAUCAGGAGGAACACCGGCGGCGAAGGCGGCCUGCUGGACUGAAACUGACGUUGAGGCUCGAAAGCGUGGGGAGCAAACAGGAUUAGAUACCCCUGUAGUC